UACAGAGGUGGCAAGCGUUGUUCGGAAUUACUGGGCGUAAAGGGCGCGUAGGCGGCCAUCUAAGUCAGACGUGAAAUCCCCCGGCUUAACCUGGGAACUGCGUCUGAUACUGGACGGCUCGAGUUUGGGAGAGGGAUGUGGAAUUCCAGGUGUAGCGGUGAAAUGCGUAGAUAUCUGGAGGAACACCGGUGGCGAAGGCGGCAUCCUGGACCGGUAUUGACGCUGAGGCGCGAAAGCCAGGGGAGCAAACGGG
rnacentral:rRNA from 1 species